CUGAGGUUUGACGUAAAGCUGCCAAAAUGACAACUUAAGCAGAAGCAAAAAUGGGGUCCAAAAAAAUCCAGGUCUCAAUAAUGAGUUUCAUAUAUUUUACACUUGCUGUUGAAUCAAUCAUAUUCUUUGAUAAUUAAAGUUAAUUUCUUUCCUUGCUGCGGGUAAAACAAAAGUGUUAUUAUUGU